UAGGGAAUCUUCGGCAAUGGGGGGAACCCUGACCGAGCAACGCCGCGUGAGUGAAGAAGGUUUUCGGAUCGUAAAGCUCUGUUGUUAAGGAAGAACGAGUGUGAGAAUGGAAAGUUCAUGCUGUGACGGUACUUAACCAGAAAGGGACGGCUAACUACGUGCCAGCAGCCGCGGUAAUACGUAGGUCCCGAGCGUUGUCCGGAUUUAUUGGGCGUAAAGCGAGCGCAGGCGGUUAGAAAAGUCUGAAGUGAAAGGCAGUGGCUCAACCAUUGUAGGCUUUGGAAACUGUUUAACUUGAGUGCAGAAGGGGAGAGUGGAAUUCCAUGUGUAGCGGUGAAAUGCGUAGAUAUAUGGAGGAACACCAGUGGCGAAGGCGACUCUCUGGUCUGUAACUGACGCUGAGGUUCGAAAGCGUGGGGAGCGAACAGG
rnacentral:rRNA from 1 species